CGACCGCCGAUUUCCCCUCGAUUCCGUUUUGAGACAUCCUGGUUGUCCCAAACUGGUUUUGUUGCGGCGGUGGCCGCGAGUUGGGUUGAGGCGCUCGCCACCCCCAUCCCCGCCCCCUCGGCCAUUGACGUUUGGCAGUUCUGUGCUAAAUGGGGACGACAGUUCAUGAAGGGGUGGGGUGCCAACCUUGGGCGUGAUCUCCGCGAACGCAAGAAGGCCUUGUUGACUGCCAUCCAUGCCCUUGACCUACGGGCAGAUGCUGUUGGCCUCUCCCCCAGGGAGUGGCUUUCCCGCUAUGACUUAGAAGACCAGCUCUCCGUCAUCUACACCAACGAGGGCUACUGGCGCUUGCGCGGCUCCCAGGAAUGGGUCCUGCAAGGGGACGCGAACACUACUUACUUUCAGGCCAUUGCUAACGGCCGCCGUAGGCGUAACACCAUCCCACUCCUUUGGGAUGGUAGGACUCUCCUUCAGUCCCCUAGUGACAUUAGGGCCCAUGUUGACGGGUUCUAUCGGGCCUUGUUCUCCGCUCCCCGGAGCGGCCUCUCCCUUGCCCUCGAUUGCUGGACUGGUAACCACCUUGUCUCCGCCGCAGAGAACAUGGCCCUCACGGCCCCGUUCUCGGAGGACGAGGUCUGGGCCGCCAUUAGUUGCAUGAACCCUUCUUCGGCUCCUGGUCCAGAUGGCCUUCCGGUUAAGUUCUUCCAGUCCUUCUAGAAUGUGAUUAAACCUGAGAUCAUGGCCAUCUUUGAUGAGUUCUACGUUGGGUCCAUCGACCUUGGUCGCCUUAACUAUGGGAUCAUCUCGCUCAUCCCCAAAGUCUCCGGGUCCGACAUCCACCAGUUCCGGCCAAUCACGGUGAUCAACGUGAUUUUCCGGAUCCUGGCCAAAGGGUACGCCAAUAGGGUGACCCGGUUGGCCGAUCACAUUACCCAC
rnacentral:rRNA from 1 species